rnacentral:rRNA from 1 species
AGGGCACCACCAGGAGUGGAGCCUGCGGCUUAAUUUGACUCAACACGGGAAAACUUACCUGGUCCUGACACUAGAAGGAUUGACAGAUUGAUAGCUCUUUCUUGAUUUGGUGGAUGGUGGUGCAUGGCCGUUCUUAGUUGGUGGAGUGAUUUGUCUGGUUAAUUCCGAUAACGAACGAGACUCUAGCCUAUUAAAUAACACACAGAAUCGUGCCUUCUGUGGCGUUUCUUAAUGGGAUCAAGUGUGUUUAACGCUUUGAAACAGAGCAAUAACAGGUCUGUGAUGCCCUUAGAUGUUCGGGGCUGCACGCGCGCUACAUUGAAAGACAAAAUGAGCCCUCUAGUCUUUAAUAAGGCUAGUAAUCUUUGAAUGUUUUUCUUAAUGGGGAUAGGGGAUUGCAAUUGUGCCCCUUGAACGAGGAAUUCCCAGUAAGUGCUAAUCAUUAGUUAGUACUGAUUACGUCCCUGCCCUUUGUACACACCGCCCGUCGCUACUACCGAUUGAAUGGUUUAGUGAGAU